rnacentral:rRNA from 1 species
AUUGAACGCUGGCGGCAUGCUUUACACAUGCAAGUCGAACGGUAACAGGCCGCAAGGUGCUGACGAGUGGCGAACGGGUGAGUAAUGCAUCGGAACGUGCCCAGUCGUGGGGGAUAACGCAGCGAAAGCUGUGCUAAUACCGCAUACGAUCUAUGGAUGAAAGCGGGGGACCGUAAGGCCUCGCGCGAUUGGAGCGGCCGAUGUCAGAUUAGGUAGUUGGUGGGGUAAGGGCCUACCAAGCCGACGAUCUGUAGCUGGUCUGAGAGGACGACCAGCCACACUGGGACUGAGACACGGCCCAGACUCCUACGGGAGGCAGCAGUGGGGAAUUUUGGACAAUGGGCGCAAGCCUGAUCCAGCAAUGCCGCGUGCAGGAAGAAGGCCUUCGGGUUGUAAACUGCUUUUGUACGGAACGAAACGGUCUGGGUUAAUACCCCGGGCUAAUGACGGUACCGUAAGAAUAAGCACCGGCUGACUACGUGCCAGCCGCCGCAGUAAAAC